rnacentral:rRNA from 1 species
GAUGAACGCUAGCUACAGGCUUAACACAUGCAAGUCGAGGGACCGGCGCACGGGUGCGUAACACGUAUCCAACCUGCCCUUUACUCGGGGAUAGCCUUUCGACAGAAAGAUUAAUACCCGAUAUAAAGGAUGGGGAUGCGUUCCAUUAGGUUGUUGGUGAGGUAACGGCCCACCAAGCCUUCGAUGGAUAGGGGUUCUGAGAGGAAGGUCCACCACAUUGGAACUGAGGCCCGGUCCAAACGCGUACGCGGGGCAGCGGUGAGGAAGAUUGGUCAAGGGGCGGUAGCCUGAACCAGCCACGUAGCGUGAAGGAUGAAGGCUUAUGGGUCGUAAACUUCUUUUAUAUAAGAAUAUGUAUUAUAUGAAUAAGGAUCGGCUAACUCCGUGCCAGCAGCCGCGGUAAUUC